rnacentral:rRNA from 1 species
UACGAAGGGGGCUAGCGUUGUUCGGAAUCACUGGGCGUAAAGGGCGCGUAGGCGGCCUGAUAAGUCGGGGGUGAAAGCCUGUGGCUCAACCACAGAAUUGCCUUCGAUACUGUCGGGCUUGAGACCGGAAGAGGUAAGUGGAACUGCGAGUGUAGAGGUGAAAUUCGUAGAUAUUCGCAAGAACACCAGUGGCGGAAGGCGGCUUACUGGUCCGGUUCUGACGCUGAGGCGCGAAAGCGUGGGGAGCAAACAGG